rnacentral:rRNA from 1 species
CACGGGGGGAGCAAGCGUUGUUCGGAUUCAUUGGGCGUAAAGGGCUCGUAGGUGGCUUUGUAAGUCGGAGGUGAAAUCCCACGGCUCAACCGUGGACACGCCUUCGAAACUGUGAAGCUUGAGGCUGGGAGAGGAGAUCGGAAUUCCUGGUGUAGCGGUGAAAUGCGUAGAUAUCAGGAGGAACACCGGUGGCGAAGGCGGGACUCGUGGGCCGAAUGACUGACGCUGGAGGAGCGAAAGCGUGGGGAGCAAACAGG